rnacentral:ncRNA from 1 species
GAUUAUUGAGGAUAGGAUAGGCAUCUAUCGCACCCAACUUCAGGGUAUAAAGAGAUGUGGGAUACGCCUCCCCACCAAUAAUC